rnacentral:lncRNA from 1 species
AGGUGAGUGUUGCAACAGGUGACCCAUUUGGUAGAACAACAAAAGAACCCAUGACAUCUUAAUUUUUCUCCACCAGUGGAAUUGCUCUGACUCAGUUAGGUCCCUGCCAUCUUUUCUACUGUGUAUUCCUAUCACUGGCAUACCCAAAUCCUUUUUAAUGAUGCAGAGGCAGCUUAGCCUGUGUUCAAAUUAUAUGAAUCCUAAGUUAGAAGGGGG